UGCGUAGGCGGCUUCUUAAGUCGGAUGUGAAAUCCCUGAGCUUAACUUAGGAUUUGCAUUCGAUACUGGGAAGCUAGAGUAUGGGAGAGGAUGGUAGAAUUCCAGGUGUAGAGGUGAAAUGCGUAGAGAUCUGGAGGAAUACCGAUGGCGAAGGCAGCCAUCUGGCCUAAUACUGACGCUGAGGCACGAAAGCGUGGGGAGCAAACAGGAUUAGAUACCCGAGU
rnacentral:rRNA from 1 species